GUGAGAGCCAAAGAGACGGUGGGCAGACCUCCAGACCCAGGGCCAAGGGGUUGCCUUCUUAUACAAGACUUAAGAAAAGAACACAAGAGAGGGCUGGAGAACAGCGUUAAUAAGCUUUCCUAACAUAACAGCAAACAUGGAGAGUGAUGGAAAACAAGGUUUGUGUCACAACAGUUAAUUUGUUGACUUCUCUGUGUUACCCGAGCAACAGCAUUUUCCAAUAGCUACAGUUCUCGGGCAGGACUUUAUUUAUCAUU